ensembl:lncRNA
AUGCGCAGUAGCCGGACUCGGCGGCUCUUCCGGUUAAAGGAUGACGUCAGGGACACGCGCAAGCAAGACGGUCUUUUCCGGUUCGGAGCGGCGAGGAGUGUGGCAGCUGAGACAUCGUGGCCCCGGAGAUCAGGCUCCUCAGGAGAUGUUGCUCCGUCAGAUGGAAGGUCUCUCUCUGGUUCUGGUUCAGCACUCAGGAGAUGUUUGCCAGCUCCUGCAGAUGCUGGUGAAUGUGGUCAUUAAUGGUGUUUGGGUCAGGAGGAGCGUCGAGCGUCUCAACAGUGCUGUCACCUGAUGUGAUUCUGAAAGAGAAGUGUGCCAGCUCUUUUCUCCAUUCUUCUGCUCCUGACAAACUCUGACAACAGCAGCUGGUGACCGCAGGAGAGUUCACGCGCUGAAGGUACUGCUGCUGCUGUUCAUUAUUCAGAUCUAAAUUAUUCCUGCUUUUAUGAAAAUAACGUGUGAAGAGCGAGGCUAGAGUCACAUCCUGAUGCUGCUCGUGGUCCUGGUGUGCUAUAGUUCUCGCAGAGUAACUCUCUGCUUAUUCAUUGGCUGCUGCUUUCUGUUGCUCAGCCAAUCACCAGCUCAGAAACAACCCCUCUUUAUCAGACUGUUGUUGGUUCUGUGGUAGACUUGCUCAGCGGUGGUUGAAGUGUAAUGUGUGGUUGUCUCUCAAAGCUCCUGCAGAUGCUGGUGAAUGUGGUCAUUAAUGGUGUUUGGGUCAGGAGGAGCGUCGAGCGUCUCAACAGUGCUGUCACCGUGAGUGUUCUUCUUACUGACUGAUUGUGAUUUCUAUGUUUCUGAUCAUAUCUACUCGAUCAGGUAGAGCGAGACUAGAGUCACAUCCUGAUGCUGCUCGUGGUCCUGGUGUGCUAUAGUUCUCGCAGAGUAACUCUCUGCUUAUUCAUUGGCUGCUGCUUUUCAUUGCCCAGCCAGUCACCAGCUCAGAAACAUGCAUCAUCAUCUCAACAAGACAAACACAGACCAGUGUCUAACAGCUGUUCUUUAUUGUCUUAGGGAUCAUCACACCACUACCACCAAAGAUGAGCUGGAAAGUUUAACAGUUGGGCUUCACACAUCUGUUGCUUUAUAAACUUAUGAAUAAAUGAUAUUUCAUAACAGAAAUAUGAAAUGGA